GUUAGGUGUGCUGUUCCUUUGGUUGCUCUCCUCAGAAGGUAAUGCAGAUGAUCAGGAGGAAUAUGGGAAACUAGAGUUCAUGCUCUAAGGCCAGCUGACAUUAAAGCAGUCACUGCAAUAGGAAGUUUGCAGAGAACACCAGGAUCUGGUGAAGAUUCAC